rnacentral:rRNA from 1 species
GUCGAGCGGACAGAAGGGAGCUUGCUCCCGGAUGUUAGCGGCGGACGGGUGAGUAACACGUGGGUAACCUGCCUGUAAGACUGGGAUAACUCCGGGAAACCGGAGCUAAUACCGGAUAGUUCCUUGAACCGCAUGGUUCAAGGAUGAAAGACGGUUUCGGCUGUCACUUACAGAUGGACCCGCGGCGCAUUAGCUAGUUGGUGAGGUAACGGCUCACCAAGGCGACGAUGCGUAGCCGACCUGAGAGGGUGAUCGGCCACACUGGGACUGAGACACGGCCCAGACUCCUACGGGAGGCAGCAGUAGGGAAUCUUCCGCAAUGGACGAAAGUCUGACGGAGCAACGCCGCGUGAGUGAUGAAGGUUUUCGGAUCGUAAAGCUCUGUUGUUAGGGAAGAACAAGUGCAAGAGUAACUGCUUGCACCUUGACGGUACCUAACCAGAAAGCCACGGCUAACUACGUGCCAGCAGCCGCGGUAAUACGUAGGUGGCAAGCGUUGUCCGGAAUUAUUGGGCGUAAAGGGCUCGCAGGCGGUUUCUUAAGUCUGAUGUGAAAGCCCCCGGCUCAACCGGGGAGGGUCAUUGGAAACUGGGAAACUUGAGUGCAGAAGAGGAGAGUGGAAUUCCACGUGUAGC